AUUGAACGCUGGCGGCAGGCCUAACACAUGCAAGUCGAACGGUAGCACAGAGAGCUUGCUCUCGGGUGACGAGUGGCGGACGGGUGAGUAACGGCUGGGAGACUGCCCGAUGGAGGGGGAUAACUACUGGGAACGGUAGCUAAUACCGCAUAACGUCGCAAGACCAAAGUGGGGGACCUGCGUGCCUCACACCAUCGGAUGUGCCUAGAUGGGAUUAGCUAGUGGGGGGGGUAAUGGCUCACCUAGGGGACGAUCCCUAGCUGGUCUGAGAGGAUGACCAGCCACACUGGAACUGAGACACGGUCCAGACUCCUACGGGAGGCAGCAGUGGGGAAUAUUGCACAAUGGGCGCAAGCCUGAUGCAGCCAUGCCGCGUGUAUGAAGAAGGCCUUCGGGUUGUAAAGUACUUUCAGCGGGGAGGAAGGCGGUGAAGUUAAUAGCUUCACCGAUUGACGUUACCCGCAGAAGAAGCACCGGCUAACUCCGUGCCAGCCGCCGCCGUAA
rnacentral:rRNA from 1 species